CCUACGGGUGGCAGCAGUGGGGAAUAUUGGACAAUGGGGGCAACCCUGAUCCAGCCAUGCCGCGUGUGUGAAGAAGGCCCUCGGGUUGUAAAGCACUUUCAGUGAGGAAGAACGCCUGGUGGUUAAUACCCAUCAGGAAAGACAUCACUCACAGAAGAAGCACCGGCUAACUCCGUGCCAGCAGCCGCGGUAAUACGGAGGGUGCGAGCGUUAAUCGGAAUUACUGGGCGUAAAGCGCGCGUAGGUGGCUUGAUAAGCCGGUUGUGAAAGCCCCGGGCUCAACCUGGGAACGGCAUCCGGAACUGUCAAGCUAGAGUGAAGGAGAGGAAGGUAGAAUUCCCGGGGUAGCGGUGAAAUGCGUAGAGAUCGGGAGGAAUACCAGUGGCGAAGGCGGCCUUCUGGACUGACACUGACACUGAGGUGCGAAAGCGUGGGUAGCAAACAGGAUUAGAUACCCUGGUAGUC
rnacentral:rRNA from 1 species